UGGGGAAUCUUGGACAAUGGGCGCAAGCCUGAUCCAGCCAUGCCGCGUGGAUGAUGAAGGCCUUAGGGUUGUAAAAUCCUUUUCGCCGAGGACGAUAAUGACGGUACUCGGAGAAGAAGCUCCGGCUAACUUCGUGCCAGCAGCCGCGGUAAUACGAAGGGGGCUAGCGUUGUUCGGAUUUACUGGGCGUAAAGCGCAUGUAGGCGGGCCGUUAAGUUAGGGGUGAAAUCCCGAGGCUCAACCUCGGAACUGCCUCUAAAACUGGCGGCCUGGACCUAAGUAGAGGCAAGUGGAAUUGCGAGUGUAGAGGUGAAAUUCGUAGAUAUUCGCAGGAACACCAGUGGCGAAGGCGACUUGCUGGACUUAUGGUGACGCUGAGAUGCGAAAGCGUGGGGAGCAAACAGGAUUAGAUACCCACGUAGUCCCUGAGCGGGCUGGCAAGGCGCAU
rnacentral:rRNA from 1 species